rnacentral:rRNA from 1 species
GAUGAACGCUGGCGGCGUGCCUAAUACAUGCAAGUCGAGCGAACGGACGGGAAGCUUGCUUUUCUGAUGUUAGCGGCGGACGGGUGAGUAACACGUGGAUAACCUACCUAUAAGACUGGGAUAACUUCGGGAAACCGGAGCUAAUACCGGAUAAUAUUUUGAACCGCAUGGUUCAAAAGUGAAAGACGGUCUUGCUGUCACUUAUAGAUGGAUCCGCGCUGCAUUAGCUAGUUGGUAAGGAACGGCUUACCAAGGCAACGAUGCAUAGCCGACCUGAGAGGGUGAUCGGCCACACUGGAACUGAGACACGGUCCAGACUCCUACGGGAGGCAGCAGUAGGGAAUCUUCCGCAAUGGGCGAAAGCCUGACGGAGCAACGCCGCGUGAGUGAUGAAGGUCUUCGGAUCGUAAAACUCUGUUAUUAGGGAAGAACAUAUGUGUAAGUAACUGUGCACAUCUUGACGGUACCUAAUCAGAAAGCCACGGCUAACUACGU